rnacentral:rRNA from 1 species
UACGUAGGUGUCGAGCGUUGUCCGGAUUUAUUGGGCGUAAAGAGCCCGCAGGCGGCUUGUCUAGUCCGAGGUGAAAUCUCCCGGCUCAACUGGGAGGGUGCCUCGGAAACUGGCAGGCUUGAGGCAGGGAGAGGGAUGUGGAAUUCCAGGUGUAGUGGUGAAAUGCGUAGAUAUCUGGAGGGACACCGAUGGCGAAGGCAGGUCUCUGGGCCGAUACUGACGCUGAGGAGCGAAAGCGUGGGGAGCGAACAGG